rnacentral:lncRNA from 1 species
CAAGUCAGAACUCAUGAUAGAAGGACUAAAUCACGUAAUAAUUAUUUCUAGAGAUUCAUUAUUUUUAUUCUACUAGGUUGCCACUACAUACUGCUAGGUAUCAUUGGUGGAUUGUGAGACUCGUCGAGCAUUGUCUUGAUGAUCGAUGACUCUCAAAAGAUAGAAUUAAAAUUAUUCCAACCCAUCGAAAGGAGUUUCAAUGAUAUUAU